ensembl:rRNA 5S_rRNA 5S ribosomal RNA
GGUAGAGGACAGUUACCACCCUCAACACACCCAACCUUAUCUGAUCUCGGAAGCUAAGCAGGGUCAAGCCUGGUUAGUACUUGGAUAAAGACUUUUUAAACCUAUUAUACCACUAUCA